AACGAACGCUGGCGGCAGGCUUAACACAUGCAAGUCGAGCGCCCCGCAAGGGGAGCGGCAGACGGGUGAGUAACGCGUGGGAACGUACCCUUUGCUACGGAAUAGCUCCGGGAAACUGGAAUUAAUACCGUAUGUGCCCUACGGGGGAAAGAUUUAUCGGCAAAGGAUCGGCCCGCGUUGGAUUAGCUAGUUGGUGGGGUAAUGGCCUACCAAGGCGACGAUCCAUAGCUGGUCUGAGAGGAUGAUCAGCCACAUUGGGACUGAGACACGGCCCAAACUCCUACGGGAGGCAGCAGUGGGGAAUAUUGGACAAUGGGCGCAAGCCUGAUCCAGCCAUGCCGCGUGAGUGAUGAAGGCCUUAGGGUUGUAAAGCUCUUUCACCGGAGAAGAUAAUGACGGUAUCCGGAGAAGAAGCCCCGGCUAACUUCGUGCCAGCCGCCGCCGUAAGAC
rnacentral:rRNA from 1 species